AAAAAUUACUACAUGAUGCUACAAUCAAUUAGACAGCAUGUAGCUACACAGACUCAGUGGUGCAAGUAGUAAUGAGCUGUGAUUUAAAUCGUGACGUCUUUAGUUCGAAUCCAACUAACAAUUAUGUUAAAUUGUGAUCAUCACAUGCAACAAAAUCACAUAAAUGCCACAGUAGAGAGUGAAUUAAUUGUGGGUGAGUGGACAAGCAUGUGCUCUCUGAGAAUAAGAUGACAAUGAAGACAUGGGUUCACAACACGGUUACUUUACUAUGUUUUUUAUUAAAAUCACAGCUCAGAACAAGUCAAACAUCAGUUCCAGCAGGUGUUCAGACAGGAGAUCUGUGGCUCUGUGGUAAGAGCGCUGCCCCACGGCUUCAGGGGUUGCUGGUAUCGGUCCCAGCCAGAACUCUGCGAUAUGUGUGAAUGGCGGCAUCAGCGAGCUGCUCUUUUAGCCUGAACACCUUUGACAACAGCGCCACAGAUCAUCACAGGUACACCGUUUUACUGGCGUCAAGUUGAGCUCCAGCAGAUGACAGCUCAGUGACAGACUCAUAAUGUCAGUCA